rnacentral:rRNA from 1 species
CCUACGGGUGGCUGCAGUGAGGAAUAUUGGUCAAUGGACGCAAGUCUGAACCAGCCAUGCCGCGUGCAGGAAGACGGCCCUAUGAGUUGUAAACUGCUUUUGUACGAGGGUAAACGCAGAUACGCGUAUCUGUCUGAAAGUAUCGUACGAAUAAGGAUCGGCUAACUCCGUGCCCGCAGCCGCGGUAAUAAGGAGGAUUCAAGCGUUAUCCGGAUUUAUUGGGUUUAAAGGGUGCGUAGGCGGUCGGAUAAGUUAGAGGUGAAAUUCCGAGGCUCAACUUCGGAAUUGCCACUGAUACUGGUCGGCUAGAGAGUAGGUGAGGUAGGCGGAAUGUGUGGUGUAGCGGUGAAAUGCUUAGAGAUCAUGCAGAACACCGAUUGCGAAGGCAGCUUACCAAGCUACUACUGACGUUGAGGCACGAAAGCGUGGGGAGCAAACAGGAUUAGAUACCCGAGUAGUC